CAGUCGCCGCGGUAAUACAGAGGGUGCAAGCGUUAAUCGGAAUUACUGGGCGUAAAGCGCGCGUAGGUGGUUUGUUAAGUUGGAUGUGAAAUCCCCGGGCUCAACCUGGGAACUGCAUUCAAAACUGACUGACUAGAGUAUGGUAGAGGGUGGUGGAAUUUCCUGUGUAGCGGUGAAAUGCGUAGAUAUAGGAAGGAACACCAGUGGCGAAGGCGACCACCUGGACUAAUACUGACACUGAGGUGCGAAAGCGUGGGGAGCAAACAGGAUUAGAUACCCGGGUAGUCCCUGUCUCUUAUAC
rnacentral:rRNA from 1 species